UCAAAUUUUAUAUGACAAUAUUUCACUGGCCAACAAUUACUUGUUAAUUUGAGCGUGGUUCCAAUCUACUCAUUUCCACUCUUUUUGAAUAACAAAACUAGGAAAGAGGAAUCAAUUUCAAAGACAAUCAGUGCAAAGCCUAAGAUGAAAGAAAUCAAUAGAAAGCUAAAGAGCAGAAAAGGAGUAAAAUGAAAUAUCAUCAGUAUAUGUUAAAAUCAUAAGAUUUAUUGAAAUUAUAUAAUGCCAUUAUUAUUCAUUGCUAUUCUAAUGUACAUAAAGCCCAGCCAUGAUGCAUAUAAUAUAAGGUCAGAAACCCAUACAAAAAUUGUUGCACUCUUCCAUAAUAUCCACCAGUUAGCUAUUUACAACUCCACCAUGAAUCAGAGUGAAAAAAGAAGAAAGAAGAAGAGAAGAAAGAACUGAACUUGGACUUCAAAAAGUCUUGAAGAUUCAACUACUACUAGUCAUGCCAACAUAGUAGCAUGAUCACACACCUUCUUAUUAUGUAUAGCUUAGCCCUUUGCUCUCUGAGCACCCUUCCAACUCCUUUGCUUGAUACCCUUCUCUUUGAUCCUCCCAUGGUUGCAUUUCCCAUCUUCAUUUCUUUGCUUCAACUCUUAUUAAUGAAAUGAGGUUUCUUUUCUUAUGCUUAAGCUUCGAACUUGUGUUAUGUAGUGUGAGUGACUUGGUUUAAAAGAGAUGGAGGGGUUCUUAUAGGACUUGGGGUUGUGGUCAAUAAUCACUCCUUGCUGUAGUGAAGAGGCAAAAGAUGGGGCAUGAAAGGGUGUGCAGUGCCUCAAAACCAAGGAAUCAAACAAUAAUUGGACCCCACCUUACCUCAAG
rnacentral:lncRNA from 1 species